GACGAACGCUGGCGGCGUGCCUAAUACAUGCAAGUAGAACGCACAGUUUAUACCGUAGCUUGCUCCACCAUAAACUGUGAGUUGCGAACGGGUGAGUAACGCGUAGGUAACCUGCCUGGUAGCGGGGGAUAACUAUUGGAAACGAUAGCUAAUACCGCAUAAUAUUGAUUAUUGCAUGAUAAUUGAUUGAAAGAUGCUAUUGCAUCACUACCAGAUGGACCUGCGUUGUAUUAGCUAGUAGGUGAGGUAACGGCUCACCUAGGCGACGAUACAUAGCCGACCUGAGAGGGUGAUCGGCCACACUGGGACUGAGACACGGCCCAGACUCCUACGGGAGGCAGCAGUAGGGAAUCUUCGGCAAUGGACGAAAGUCUGACCGAGCAACGCCGCGUGAGUGAAGAAGGUUUUCGGAUCGUAAAGCUCUGUUGUAAGAGAAGAACGGGUGUGAGAGUGGAAAGUUCACACUGUGACGGUAGCUUACCAGAAAGGGACGGCUAACUACGUG
rnacentral:rRNA from 1 species